rnacentral:rRNA from 1 species
CGGACGGGUGAGUAACGCGUGGGUAACCUGCCUCAUACAGGGGGAUAACAGUUAGAAAUGACUGCUAAUACCGCAUAAGCACACAGAACCGCAUGGUUCGGGGUGAAAAGCCGAGACGGUAUGAGAUGGACCCGCGUCUGAUUAGCUAGUUGGAGUGGUAAAAGCACACCAAGGCGACGAUCAGUAGCCGGCCUGAGAGGGUGGACGGCCACAUUGGGACUGAGACACGGCCCAAACUCCUACGGGAGGCAGCAG